rnacentral:lncRNA from 1 species
AUGUGCAUCCCACAUGUUAGCAAAUCCCAUUUCCAAACUUUAAGGGACCACUCUAGUGGCACCCCACAAAGAAAAUAGCAAACGUUUUACAAUGCCAUCGAACUGAUUUAUGCGGCGAACGAAUAUGAGCCCAUAAAGCAGUUCGAUGACUUAAAGCCUGACCCGGCAGAAAAUAGGCUGGGAUCAUAUUACAUUCUGAACACGCAAACAGCGUGUGGUCGUCAAGCGCAAUUCGGUUUGGCGCAAUUAGCCUUCUCCGUAUCUCUCUCUCUCUCUGAGCAUUCUCUUUUUCGGUGUCGAUCACUGAUUGGUGAUCAAAUACAUAACAAUACAUAAGUGCUUUCAAGUGUCUCCGAACUAAAUAAGUGUCAGAAUAAUUUUGGAUAACUGAAUAAAGCAAUUCUGUCUUGACCCUCAAACCGAGAGGUUCGUUUGCCAUUUUAAUUAUCGAGGAUGAUGACAACCAAAAAGGAGAUUUCUCUACAUGGCUACCAAAGUGACAGGCUACCAAAGUGAAAAAGUGUGAAAAACAGUUGUGAAGAUUUUGAAGUGAAGAUUUUGCACCAUGACGGUGACAUCGAUCUUAAUUAUAAUGCUAGCAUUAAUUUUGAUGUGCGCAACAGUGGCAUUAAUGCAGCAAGUAAUCACCGAGUGGGCUAAAGGAAUGGAAAAGGCACAAUUUGCCAUAUUAACGAACUAACUGAAGUGAAAUAAAACGGACAAGGAGCGUUAGAACAGUGUAGUUUGAGUGAAUCAGCAACAUGGGCACUACGGAGUCCAAGAACACGGAAAAUAAAGGAACAUUCACGGAAGCAAGCUUUAAAAGCUGCGAAGAGUGUGUCGGCUUUAAAUAAACUAAGUGAGGUUUAAAAAAAAAAAAAAA